rnacentral:tRNA from 1 species
AAGGAAACUAGAAAUAGAAUUAGCUUCUAACUAAAUUUUAAAGCGGUUAAACUCCGUUUUUUCCUUA